UACGUAGGGUCCGAGCGUUGUCCGGAAUUAUUGGGCGUAAAGGGCUCGUAGGCGGUUUGUCGCGUCGGGAGUGAAUACUCAGGGCUCAACCCUGAGCGUGCUUCCGAUACGGGCAGACUAGAGGUAUGCAGGGGAGAACGGAAUUCCUGGUGUAGCGGUGGAAUGCGCAGAUAUCAGGAGGAACACCGGUGGCGAAGGCGGUUCUCUGGGCAUUACCUGACGCUGAGGAGCGAAAGCAUGGGGAGCGAACAGG
rnacentral:rRNA from 1 species